AACGAACGCUGGCGGCAGGCUUAACACAUGCAAGUCGAGCGCAGGAAAUCGACGGAACCCUUCGGGGGGAAGUCGACGGAAUGAGCGGCGGACGGGUGAGUAACACGUAAAGAACCUGCCCUCAGGUCUGGGAUAACCACGAGAAAUCGGGGCUAAUACCGGAUGGGUCAUCGGACCGCAUGGUCCGAGGAUGAAAGGCGCUCCGGCGUCGCCUGGGGAUGGCUUUGCGGUGCAUUAGCUAGUUGGUGGGGUAAUGGCCCACCAAGGCGACGAUGCAUAGGCGACCUGAGAGAGUGAUCGGCCACACUGGGACUGAGACACGGCCCAGACUCCUGCGGGAGGCAGCAGUAGGGAAUCUUCCACAAUGGACGAAAGUCUGAUGGAGCAACGCCGCGUGAACGAUGAAGGCCUUCGGGUCGUAAAGUUCUGUUGUAAGGGAAGAACAAGUGCCGCAGGCAAUGGCGGCACCUUGACGGUACCUUGCGAGAAAGCCACGGCUAACUACAUGCCAGCCGCCGCAGUAAGAC
rnacentral:rRNA from 1 species